UUCCAGACUCUCACAGUGCUUAAGACCCUGAAGCUUGGGCUGGGAAGAUAACUCAGUGGGUUCAGGAUGAUGCUGUAUAGAGGGCAGACUUAGAUCUCAAUACCACAGGUCCAAGUCGGAAGACCGAAGAAGCUGGGUUGUGACCUCAACAAAGGAUAGCAGCAGCAGUGACAGCAGCAACAACAGAGCAGAUGAACAAAACCCCAAGACAGAAAGGGUCAUUGAGUGACUGGGAGAUUAAGGUAGGUAGGGUGGCUGGCUAUCACACUUCACAAAUUGUGUCUGGGAUUACAAGGACACUCAACACACUUGUUUUCG